CUGAAGAACAAACAGCUCCUCAACUGCAGGAGCAACAGCCCAGCCGGGAGCGAGAGGAGGAACAAAGAUUUGGGCAAAGCCAAACCACAGGGAGAAACACAGCCAGAGCCAUGUUGGAGCCGGUGUGGGUGGUACCCCCUGUUCCUGCACUCCUGGAGCCCUCACCCCCAGGACCUGUCUACGAAGGGUUCACUUGUCACCACCACUCUGAGAAUGGCUCUGGAGGUGCUUGUGGUGACUCCACUGAUACCAGAUUUAGUUGCUGGCAGUCCCAGGAGCCGAGCCCUGACGCCCAGACUGUGGUGACUCCUUUGGUGGUGAUGGAACCAGCGCAGACAUGGCCCCGGUGGCCGCCGCGGGCUCAGCGUGGCCAGCGUCCUUGGUGCCUGAUGUUUAAAGCAGCAAAACAUCUGCUUUGCAAAUGAGAAUUGAAUGUCGUUACCGAGCAGGUGGAAGUUGUAUUUUCUUUAUUGCAAAAGAAAUUAUUCCCUUUUUUUUUUC